UUGUUUAAAUAAAAGUUAAUUUUGUUGAUUUUGAUCUAAUAUAUCUUCCAAAAAUAACAUAAAGUUAAAGAAAUGUAUAAUAGGAGUCUUUAAAAAAAAUAGGCUAAAUGGAACUCCCAAUUACUUACAUUUCAAAAUAAAAGCCUUUUUUAGAAUUGAUUUAUGCCUUUCAUGUGACGUGCUGUUAUUCAGAUUUGGAAAAUUGGAAUUCCAAAAUCGAACUAUUAAAAAUAUUGGUGGAAACUCUUUAGUAAAAACUUCUACAGGUUGUAAUUUAAGAUAAAACUAUCAGGUAAGAACGUUGAAAGGUCACCAAUACUUUUUAAACUAAAAUAAUGGCUUAAAGACACCUAAAGCUUAUAUUGUGUUCGACUCAAUAAUAGUCCAAGUUUAAGUUUAAAAAUGGGUCAAUUUUGACUAGAAUUUAAGCUAAAUGAAAAAAAAGUACAAUCUAUUUAAAAGUUUUUUGGGAAAUAAAAUGACUUUUUUUCAAUGUUUGUAUCCUGUGUUUUUUAUGGUCUUAUGACACCUAUUUUUGUACUGUUUUACCUAUUCCUUUAACUUCUUAGUUGUUUUUGAGUUUUUUACCGUACCUCAUUUUGUUUGACUGCAAUCAUUUUAAGGUGCAAUCAAAUCAAAUCAAAAUAAAACAAAACAAUUCGAAUUGUUUCGAAUAAAUCAAUCAAAUCAAAACAAAGCAAAUCAAAUGGUUUCGAAUCAAUCAAUCAAAUCAAAACAAAACAAAACAAGUCAAAACAAAUCGAAUUGAUUCAAAUAAAUCAAUCAAAUCAAACUGUAUUUUUCGAGCACUUUUUUUGACAAAAGUAGCUCAAAGAGCUUAACAUCAAAAAUUUAAUAACGAAAAAGCAAAACAAAACAAACAAGAACAAAAUGAAAUAACAGAUACAAUGCCCCUCCCCCAAUCUUAUACAACACAUUAAAGCACAAAAUGAGACAAAACUUAAUGCUGAAUCGCAAUAGAAAAGUUGACCAAGUGUCGAAACAACAUUUUGGGGAAUCUGUCCACACCAGUGACCCCCAGUGACCCCCUCGUUCACGCCCCCCCCAACCUCAGAGACCCUAACUGAGAGGAUUCAAUCACUUCUUAAUAUUUCAAUAUGAAUUGUUGCAAAAACUUUUCUUCUUCAGAAGUUGAUGUUGAGCCUCGUGGAGUUUGUCUACAUUUAGUAGGGAGGGCUCCAAAUCCAUGGGGACCCCCCCUUUUUCCCCUAUUCAUUAAUAUAUAGUAAGGAUUUAGUGUAAAAUGUUCCUAAAGCGCACAUAUAGUGCAGUCAAAGCUGCAUCCUCUUUCUGUUUUUUCCCCCCUUCUCUAUUUUCUUACUAUACAAAAAAAAAGGGAAAUGUCCUCAAGUUUCCCGCUGGGGGAGUUCAUUUAUUUUGUAUGCAAAGGGAGGAAGAAAAAAAAAAAAAAAAAAAGACAGAAAGAAAAGGGGGGAGAGGGAAAAAAAAUCAUCCCCAAGUAUAACAAGAGACGAACAGUUAGUGCUGAUUUUCAUUUGCAUAAAUUUUCAUACAUUUUAGUGAAAAUAAUAGCGGCAGCCGAGGAGAGCUCCUGCUCAGUUAGAGGAAAGAAAAUCUCAGGGAGCGGAGAGUCGCGGGGAAAAAAAGGGAUAACGCAGACGGAGUGAAGGAAGGAAGGGAAGAUUUUCCUGCUUUUCUUGGACACGAGGUGAGUCGACGCUUCAUCCCAGGAUCUCUUUUUCCCUCCAUUCUUUUUGCUACAUUUUGACACUUUUGCGCGUCAUUCCUUCAUUUUGACACUAAUAUGAUCCCAUACUUGGAGCUGCUGUUUUGAUUUAAUAGGGAAUUUAAAAAGAAACAAACACUUUUGUUUCCGGAGGUUCCGCGAACGCAUCGUCGCUUUCUGGGAGGAAUUGAUCGGGUGAAGUUCGGGACGGCUUUCUCCCUCUCCCCGGCCGCUGCGUGUCUAAGCCCCCGCACUCCGUAUCCAUGGAGAGCCACAGCCCCUGGUGAACACCCUCCUCUCUCUCACACACACACACACACACAUACACUCUUAACUUUGCCGCUUCUGUGACACCCCCCCUCCCUCCCAGUCCUCCCUCCGUCUUCCCCAAUGGAUGCCGAGUCUCUGGAGGUAAGGGCCUUGCCUUUGCAUGCGUGCGUGCAGGCAAAAGCGGACACGCCGUCUCCCCAGCUUCCGUUUUCCUCGGUGCGCCUGCUGCUGCUGGAGUAUUCACGCUCCGGGCUGUUUUCUUUGAGAGAGAGAGAGGAAGACGGAGUAUAAAAAUAUGCAAAUGCUAUUGUUGAAGAGAGGAGCGAGCAAGAAGUGGGAGGGUGGCGGCGGCGGUGGUUGCUCCUCACCUCCCCCCCCUUCUGCCACCGACACUGCCUCCACCUUCAUCUAUCCGUCCGUCCAUUCAUCCGUCCAUCCAGUGCAAACAGAAAUGGAGAGGGAGGGCGAAAUAUUACAAUAAACCCCAAAGGCCAGCUGUUAGAAAAGGAUGAAGACAAACCCUACGAAGCCCCACUGAGCCGGGAAUUAUUCAUACAUACACAUGUCACUGAGCAGAACCCGUACAGCUCGGGCGGUAACGACCAAACGGGGGAAACGGAAAGAUGGCCGUAAACUGGCGUAAUUGUGAGGCCGCGCACGCCCACACAGGUGCUUCUGCUCAAGGUGGAAUUACGCCGAUGCGCUUCAUUAUGUCAGCUUCUACAGCAAACCCCUGCUCGCACUCCGAGGAAGGUCGUCUGCCCACAACAUCCCCGCGCGGCCUCGUCCAAGUGUUGCUUUGCUAAUGAUGUUAACAGCACAAAACGGGACCGCGACAGUCUCCCAGUUUGGAUAAUCAUAAUGGAAUAAGAAGCGAUACGUUUAGGAAGGAUCUGUUUUCAAAGCCCUAAUUUUUUAAAGCCACUUAACAUUGACCUAUGAGUCAUCUGAGCAUUAAAAAAAAACCCAAACUCAAGGGAUGAGCCAGAACUGCGUCUGCACAAACCAUUUUAAAUUGUAUCUGUAGGCACUUUGUUACCAGCAGCAGACACAUAAUUUGUUUCUAUUUCUUUAGCUACAUCUGUAAAAAAAAAAAAAA